GUGAGCCUUCCCCUACACUGCAAUUUAUACGUAGUGCCAAAAGCCACUCCCUCUUAGCAAAUUUAGCUUUAUUGUGCCGCUGAGUAAAGCGUGUAUAGAUUUGACGUGUUGAAUGGCCCCUGCUUCCAUACAGGUGGGAUCUCAUCAGGAUAUCACUGAAGAGAGCUUCUCGAUUUUCUGGAUGCUGGAACCUAGGAUAGAGAUUGUUGUGGUGGGCACCGGAAACAAGACUGAGCGGCUGCACUCUCAAGUCCUGCAGGCCAUGAGGCAGCGGGGAAUUGCGGUGGAGAUACAGGACACGCCUAACGCCUGUGCCACCUUCAACUUCCUGUGCCACGAAGGUCGAGUGACAGGAGCUGCCCUCAUCCCCCCACCUGGAGAGACUGCACUUGCCUCUUCUGGUCAAACCACAGAGUGAACCAUCCAGAACAGUCAAGGAGGGCACUGAGCUUCGUGAUCUCCCCGUGCCUUCCCUACUCCCCCUCUUGGCACACUAGCUGUCAUGCUCACCCAGGAUAAUAAUUUAUGAUCUUCUUAUAUAUUAGUUGUGUUGCUGGGUUUGGCUGGUGACUGGGGAAGAGGGGAAGUAAGGGCUGUUUUCACUCAGACAAUUCCCUGAGCCCAUAAAAACCAGGAUGCAGUGUUCAAUAUCUACUUUGCUCAUGUACAGAUUUGAGGAGACCCCAGUAGCUUUUCUGACUUCUUUAGAAGUAGAACUAAGGUCUGAACUACACAUGGCAUGGCCCAAGGCUGUCACAAACGAGAUCAUACUCUGAACAUGUGCGAUGGUGGUGAGAAUGAAAAGAAUUCAAAAUUCA
rnacentral:lncRNA from 1 species